ACCUGACCUUCCUCUGGGAUAUGUUUGGUGAGAAAAGCCUGCAUUCACCGGUAAAGAAGUUACUCGUCGAGCACCAUUUUCCUUUAGAUCUUCACAAUAUCCUGGGUAGCCUUAUGUUGUGAGGUGGAAGUCUCUACUCUUCUGUGGCUGCUGUGGCCAAGACUUCCAAUACUGUGUUAGCAUCCUCGCCUUGUUCCUGAUGUUAAGCAGGAAGCUUUUCCCUGUUGAGCAUGAUGCUAGCUGUGCACUGGUCAUACGUGGCCUUACAUUUUGAGGUACAUUUGGUCUAUACCCACUUUGUUGAGUUUUUCUGGGGUUUAAUCCUGGUCUUUCAUUGGGAACAUGUUUAUCUGUUUCCUCAUGUUGCCUGACUUUGUAUGUAUGUAUGUCUUUGUGUUAGGUGAAACAGCUAUCUCUUCUAGUCCUGAAGGUGUGGCUGUGUGUGGGUGAACAUUUUUGUUUAUAGUAGCCU